rnacentral:rRNA from 1 species
UUCGCCCUUAGAGUUUGAUCCUGGCUCAGGACGAACGCUGGCGGCGCGCUUAACACAUGCAAGUCGAACGGAGCUGAGAGGAGCUUGCUUUUCUCAGCUUAGUGGCGAACGGGUGAGUAACGCGUGAGUAACCUGCCCUGGAGUGGGGGACAACAGUUGGAAACGACUGCUAAUACCGCAUAAGCCCACGGCUCGGCAUCGAGCAGAGGGAAAAGGAGCAAUCCGCUUUGAGAUGGCCUCGCGUCCGAUUAGCUAGUUGGUGAGGUAACGGCCCACCAAGGCAACGAUCGGUAGCCGGACUGAGAGGUUGAACGGCCACAUUGGGACUGAGACACGGCCCAGACUCCUACGGGAGGCAGCAGUGGGGAAUAUUGCACAAUGGGGGAAACCCUGAUGCAGCGACGCCGCGUGGAGGAAGAAGGUCUUCGGAUUGUAAACUCCUGUUGUUGGGGAAGAUAAUGACGGUACCCAACAAGAAAGCACCGGCUAACUACGUGCCAGCAGCCGCGGUAAAACGUAGGGUGCAAGCGUUGUCCGGAAUUACUGGGUGUAAAGGGAGCGCAGGCGGGAAGACAAGUUGGAAGUGAAAACCAUGGGCUCAACCCAUGAAUUGCUUUCAAAACUGUUUUUCUUGAGUAGUGCAGAGGUAGAUGGAAUUCCCGGUGUAGCGGUGGAAUGCGUAGAUAUCGGGAGGAACACCAGUGGCGAAGGCGGUCUACUGGGCACCAACUGACGCUGAGGCUCGAAAGCAUGGGUAGCAAACAGGAUUAGAUACCCCGGUAGUCCAUGCCGUAAACGAUGAUUAUUAGGUGUUGGAGGAUUGACCCCUUCAGUGCAGCAGUUAACACAAUAAGUAAUCCACCUGGGGAGUACGACCGCAAGGUUGAAACUCAAAGGAAUUGACGGGGGCCCGCACAAGCAGUGGAGUAUGUGGUUUAAUUCGACGCAACGCGAAGAACCUUACCAAGUCUUGACAUCCCUUGACAGACAUAGAAAUAUGUAAUCUCUUCGGAGCAAGGAGACAGGUGGUGCAUGGUUGUCGUCAGCUCGUGUCGUGAGAUGUUGGGUUAAGUCCCGCAACGAGCGCAACCCUUAUGGUCAGUUACUACGCAAGAGGACUCUGGCCAGACUGCCGUUGACAAAACGGAGGAAGGUGGGGAUGACGUCAAAUCAUCAUGCCCUUUAUGACUUGGGCUACACACGUACUACAAUGGCGUUAAACAAAGAGAAGCAAGACCGCGAGGUGGAGCAAAACUCAGAAACAACGUCCCAGUUCGGACUGCAGGCUGCAACUCGCCUGCACGAAGUCGGAAUUGCUAGUAAUCGUGGAUCAGCAUGCCACGGUGAAUACGUUCCCGGGCCUUGCACACACCGCCCGUCA